UCUGGUUGAUCCUGCCAGAGGUUACUGCUAUCGAGGUUCGACUAAGCCAUGCGAGUCGAAUGUAGCAAUACAUGGCGAACUGCUCAGUAACACGUGGACAACCUGCCCUUAGGUUGGGUAUAAACCCGGGAAACUGGGUAUAAUACCCGAUAGGUCUCGAUUGCUGGAAUGCAUCGAGAUUUAAAGCUCCGGCGCCUAAGGAUGGGUCUGCGGCCUAUCAGGUAGUAGUGGGUGUAGCGUACCUACUAGCCUACGACGGGUACGGGUUGUGAGAGCAAGAGCCCGGAGAUGGAUUCUGAGACACGAAUCCAGGCCCUACGGGGUGCAGCAGGCGCGAAAACUUUACAAUGCUGGCAACAGCGAUAAGGGAACCUCGAGUGCCAGGUUACAAAUCUGGCUGUCGAGAUGCCUAAAAAGCAUUUCAUAGCAAGGGCCGGGCAAGACCGGUGCCAGCCGCCGCGGUAACACCGGCGGCUCGAGUGGUAACCGUUAUUAUUGGGUCUAAAGGGUCUGUAGCCGGCCGGAUAAGUCUCUUGAGAAAUCUGGCAGCUUAACUGUCAGGCUUUCAGGAGAUACUGUCUGGCUCGAGGCCGGGAGAGGUGAGAGGUACUUCAGGGGUAGGGGUGAAAUCUUGUAAUCCUUGAAGGACCACCAGUGGCGAAGGCGUCUCACCAGAACGGACCUGACGGCAAGGGACGAAAGCUAGGGGCACGAACCGGAUUAGAUACCCGGGUAGUCCUAGCCGUAAACGAUACUCGCUAGGUGUCGGCCACGGUGCGACCGUUGUCGGUGCCGUAGGGAAGCCGUGAAGCGAGCCACCUGGGAAGUACGGCCGCAAGGCUGAAACUUAAAGGAAUUGGCGGGGGAGCACCACAACGGGUGGAGCUUGCGGUUUAAUUGGAUUCAACGCCGGA
rnacentral:rRNA from 1 species